rnacentral:rRNA from 1 species
UACGUAGGGUGCAAGCGUUAAUCGGAAUUACUGGGCGUAAAGCGUGCGCAGGCGGCUUUGCAAGACAGAUGUGAAAUCCCCGGGCUCAACCUGGGAACUGCAUUGUGACUGCAUGGCUGGAGUGCGGCAGAGGGGGAUGGAAUUCCGCGUGUAGCAGUGAAAUGCGUAGAUAUGCGGAGGAACACCGAUGGCGAAGGCAAUCCCCUGGGCCUGCACUGACGCUCAUGCACGAAAGCGUGGGAGC